CGCAGCCGCGGUAAUUCCAGCUCCAAUAGCGUAUAUUAAAGUUGUUGCAGUUAAAAAGCUCGUAGUUGAAUUUCGGGGUUAGUAGGUUGGUCAUGCCUCUGGUAUGUACUGGUCUCACUGAUUCCUCCUUCCUGAUGAGCCGUAAUGCCAUUAAUUUGGUGUUGCGGGGAAUUUGGACUGUUACUUUGAAAAAAUUAGAGUGUUUAAAGCAGGCAUUUUUGCUUGAAUACAUUAGCAUGGAAUAAUAAAAUAGGACGGCAUGGUUCUAUUUUGUUGGUUUCUAGGACCACCGUAAUGAUUAAUAGGGAUAGUUGGGGGCAUUAGUAUUCAAUUGUCAGAGGUGAAAUUCUUGGAUUUAUUGAAGACUAACUACUGCGAAAGCAUUUGCCAAGGAUGUUUUCAUUAAUCAAGAACGAAAGUUAGGGAUCGAAGACGAUCAGAUACCGUCGU
rnacentral:rRNA from 1 species